UACGGGGGGAGCAAGCGUUGUUCGGAUUUACUGGGCGUAAAGGGCGCGUAGGCGGCGCGACAAGUCACUUGUGAAAUCUCUGGGCUCAACCCAGAACGGUCAAGUGAUACUGUCGUGCUAGAGUGCGGAAGGGGCAACUGGAAUUCUUGGUGUAGCGGUGAAAUGCGUAGAUAUCAAGAGGAACACCUGCGGCGAAGGCAGCUCUCUGGGACGGUACUGACGCUGAGACGCGAAAGCGUGGGGAGCGAACAGG
rnacentral:rRNA from 1 species